GACGAACGCUGGCGGCGUGCUUAACACAUGCAAGUCGAACGGGAUUUAGUAGACAGAAGCCUCGGCUAAAGAUUACUAAUGAGAGUGGCGAACGGGUGAGUAACGCGUGAGCAACCUGCCUAUGACAGUGGGAUAGCCUCGGGAAACCGGGAUUAAUACCGCAUAAAAUCGUAGAAACACAUGUUUUAACGGUCAAAGAUUUAUCGGUCAUAGAUGGGCUCGCGUCUGAUUAGCUAGUUGGUGAGAUAACAGCCCACCAAGGCGACGAUCAGUAGCCGGUCUGAGAGGAUGAACGGCCACAUUGGAACUGAGACACGGUCCAAACUCCUACGGGAGGCAGCAGUGGGGAAUAUUGCACAAUGGGGGAAACCCUGAUGCAGCGACGCCGCGUGAACGAAGAAGGUAUUCGUAUCGUAAAGUUCUGUCCUAUGGGAAGAUAAUGACAGUAUCAUAGAAGAAAGCUCCGGCUAAAUACGUG
rnacentral:rRNA from 1 species